rnacentral:lncRNA from 1 species
AUAUAGUCGACAUGUAUUCGUGGAGUUAUUUUGUGUGUAGUAAUUGCUCGGUUCAUUGAUUUAUUAUGUUUAAUAAUCUGAAUUGGAGCCUUAGUUAUUAUCUUUGGAUAUAUAUACAUGUUGGAAUUGGAUGAGACUUAGGAGAAAACUCGCGAUUAUGAUCGUCAUAUGCUUAAACUACCUGAUUUAGCCCUAGGGGCCGUUGUAUAAAUUUUUACUGUUGCAGUAUCCUCUUAGUGGGUAUUCCAGAUAGUUUAGUUUUCAGUUACGCUCAUGCUGGGAUGCCGAGUGUAUUUUUACAGUAGCGUUCAGACUGUUCCGGAUUGUUGGGUGCCGUCGGGGUUGACGGUGAACCCAUAUCGCCUGUUUGGCGUCGGAUUGUGCUGAGAGCACAUUAUCUGUUGGUUGUUAGAUCAGUUUGAGUCAGUUACUGGACUUUGGCUUUCGAGAGCCUGAUUGAGCUUGACAGAGAUAUACUGCAUACUCGGUUGGGUAGCUCCCACGAGUGCCACUCCGGAGACGGGCGCUGUGCUUUCUCGUUGGUGUCGCUCAUGCCGGUUGGACUUGCUCUCCACGGACUAGUAGUGUGGAGGUAGCUGGAUAGUCACAACUGGACAGGGACGGAUGUGUUCACAGUCCCAGGGACGGGUAUGCUUACAGUCCCGAUUGGAUUGGGUCAGAUUUGGUUAGUGUAGAGCAUGGUAGUGUAGUGAUUCAUAGCGGUAGAUUUCAUUCCUUCAUUUACUACUAUCUUUACUCCCUUCUGUAGACUUGGUGGGUGGACCGAUGUUGUUGAGGGCGGCACCCACUGAGGACUACCUGUUUUUACAGUAGUUCUCACGCCCUGUUUUACCCUCCUGUUUUUGCAGAGCCAUUAUCUUCGGCUGCUACUGUUGCCGACCAGGAUCGAGGCAAGGGCGUCGCGAGUUAGAGCCCUACCAGACGUGCCAAGCUAGAGGUACCCCUACUGCAGGUAGAUGUUUAUUUUGAGUUCAUGUACAUAGUAUACUUAACUCGUCAGUGCGAGUAGCUCUGUGUUUUUGGUAUUGGACUAUGUAUAUGGAACUCUGUUUGUUUAGCUUCUGUUUACUCUAGUAGCUCUAUACUACUGCUUGUAGUAUUGUAUGAUUUACAGGUACAGCUAUCACUUCGUAUACAGGGGAAAUUUCUUUGUAUACGGCAGAUUUGUCGGCGUGCCCAGGGAAUGUGUAAUCCGGGGCGUGACAGAUUAAGUUGGUAUCAGAGCUUAGCUUUAGGUCGUUGGGACCUAGAAAACCUAAAUUUGGCAAACCUUAGAAAGGCAAGACGGGAGAGGCGUAAUUUGUUGCGAAAGUCAAUGAUUAAUUGUUCUAACUCCUCCUAGAGUGGAGUGAGUGACUGAAGGAGUUCCUGUUUUGGCCUGAGAAAUUAUGUUGGUUGCAGAUAACAUAAUUUUGGAGGAAAACACAGCCCGCCUUCCAGAUUUUCGUUGAUUGGGUCGAGAGUGUUUGUGUUUCAUCUCACCUCGAUUUGUUUCUUUCAGCUAUGUGUCGUCGUUGAGGUCGACCGUCGUUACGGGAGCGUGCCCAGUUGUCGCAGGAUCGUGCGGGACCUUCCAAGAUGCCUGAGCAUGUGGAGCCGAGUGCCCGACAGGAGCAGAGUGCCCGACCAGAGGCGAGUGCACCCCGGAAUUUAAGUGCACAGAUAGCCGCCCUGACAGAGGUGACGAGGCGGCAGGGGGAGUUGUUGGAGAGGAUGUGCGAGAGGUUAGCUUCGCCCCAGAGUUCAGCACCGAGGGCACCAGAGUCGUCUGUUCCACCUUCGACUACCCCAGUGACAGCACCAGCAGCAGCAGUUCCUCCGCCAGCAGCCGUUCCAGUAGCGCCAGUUGCACCUGCUGGGGGGCCGGUACAGUUGACAGAGGCCGAGCAGGAGCGGUGGACAGAGAGGUUGGCCCGUUUUCGCCGUUUUGAUCCAUCGAUUUUCGAUGGCAGUUGCACUGAGCCCUGGGUUGUUGAGGGAUGGGUCAGUGAGAUGGAGAAGUUAUUUGAGGAUCUGUUCAUUCCUGAGGGGGAGCAGGGGUCUUUGGGAGUCCAUUGCUUGGCAGGUGAUGCCCAGGCCUGGUGGAAGAGAGUGAGGAGAGAGUAGGGACUGGUGGCGUUGCAGCUGAGAUGGCAUGAGUUCUGUGGAAUGCUGUUUGGGAUGUUCUUUCCCAACAGUGUGAAACAAAAACUCGAGGAGGAUUUGAAGAGGAUCCAGCAGGGGGAUCGUCCAGUAUAGGAGUAUAUUCGGGAGUUUACUCGACUCCUGAAUUGUGUGCCAUUUGUGACCAGAGACGAGGCACACAGGGUCUAUCUAUUUUAGCAGAGACUGAGACCCGACAUCUUCAGGUUGGCGCGGACGCAGAGGUCGAGGACCCUGAAUGCGUCCAUUGAGCAGGCCUUGUGGGUAGAGAGAGGUGAGGUGUCACUACAGGAGAGGACUCAGGCCGCGGGGCAGAGUCAGGAUAGGAAGCGCCCCUUUUCAGAUGAUGCUGGACCGUCGAGUAGCAGGCGUCCGCCGAGGUCUCCACGAUCACGCUCUCAGGGUCGUGGGUCUUCGGGGCGUCAGCGUUCCAGGGGAUCCCGUCAGCAGGGACGGACUCAGAGGACACCGCAGUGUGUGAUCUGCGGGGGACCACACUGGCCCCGACAGUGCGAGCAGAGAGAGGGCAGGUGUUAUGGUUGUGAUCAGCCUGGACAUAUGAGGUCAGCUUGUCCCCGUGCAGCAUCACCAGCGCCAUCCACUGCAUCAGCGCAGUCGGCAUCUCAGCCUUCUUUUGGAGCAACUCUGAGUUUCCGUCACGAGGAUAGAUCGUCUGUGCCCCAUCAGGGCGAGCGGCGACAGCAAGCUCCGAGUGGCAGAGUCUACGCAGCUCAGGUGGAGGACUCUACAACAGCCGACCGAGUGGUGGCAGGUAUCAUUUUGAUUUCCGGCAUUCGUACUCAUACUCUUUUUGAUACCGGUGCCUCGCAUUCUUUUGUUAGCCGAGCAUUUGCAUUGUUACAUGGUCUAGAGUUAGGGGCAUUGUCACAGGCACGAGAGGUGCAGAUUCCCAACCAUGUGUUACAGGUUACAGAGUGUUGUUGGUCGUGUCCGGUGCAGUUCGAUUCUUGGAUCAUGCCCGCAGACCUGUUGGUGUUAGGGCAGUUGCAGGACUUCGACGUCGUACUCGGUAUGGAUUGGCUGGUGCGGUACUAUGCUACGAUCGAUUGUGGAACGAGAACGGUGACGUUCCGCGAGCCAGGCUAGGAGGAGUUCACUUUUAGAGGUUGCACGAGCACGCUGUUUGCCACCUGGAUAUCUUCGGCGAGGGUUCGACAGAUGCUGAGUAGUGGAUGUAUCGCUUUCUAGCGACAGUUGUGGAGGUACCUACGGUGGCGCCGAAACUCGAGGAUAUCCCAGUAGUCCGCGAGUUUCCGGAUGUGUUUCCCCCUGAGUUGACUUUGUUGCCGUCGGAGAGGGAGAUUGAGUUUGUGAUUGAUGUAGUUCCUGUAACUGCACCAAUCUCGAAGGUACCUUAUCAGAUGGCACCGGCAGAGCUGAGAGAGCUAAAGGCGCAGCUUCAGGAUUUGAUGGAUAGACGGUUUGUGAGACCCAGUGUGUCGCCUUGGGGAGCGCCGAUAUUAUUUGUAAAGAAGAAGGAUGGUUCGCUCAGAUUGUGCGUAGAUUAUCGGGAGCUGAAUAAAGUGACCAUCAAGAACAAGUAUCCUUUGCCGCGCAUUGAUGACCUGUUUGAUCAGCUGUAAGGAUCUUGUGUCUUCUCGAAGAUUGAUCUCCACUCAGGUUUCCACCAGUUGAGGGUGAGGGCCGAGGAUGUUUUCAAGACGGCUUUUCGGACUCGGUACGGACAUUAUGAGUUUACAGUGAUGCCUUUUGGAUUGACGAAUGCCCCUGCCGCAUUUAUAGAUUUGAUGAACAGAGUGUUCAAGCCGUUCCUGGAUAGAUUUGUGGUAGUCUUCAUAGAUGAUAUCUUGAUAUACUCCCGGAGCGAUGUCGAGCACGAGGAGCACUUGAGGACUGUGCUACAGCUUCUCCGAGAGAAGAAGUGGUAUGCCAAGUUAAAGAAGUGCGAGUUUUGGUUACGGGAGGUCGCUUUCUUGGGUCACGUGAUAUCAGCUGAGGGAGUAGCAGUCGACCCGAAGAAGAUUGAUGUGAUUCGGGAUUGGCCCAGACCGACGACGGUGACUGAGGUGAGGAGCUUUCUUGGACUAGCAGGAUAUUACCGUCGAUUUGUGGAAGGCUUUGCGAAACUUUACACACCCCUCACUCGAUUGACGCGCAAGGGGAUUAGAUUCAUCUGGAGUGAGGAUUGUCAGAGGAGCUUUGGUGAGUUGAGACUGAGGUUGACAUCAGCUUCUAUCCUUGCCCUUCCUGUGAUGGGGGAAGGAUUUGUGAUCUAUAGUGAUGCAUCGCACAGUGGACUGGGUUGUGUGCUGAUGCAGCAUGGUAGGGUAAUUACUUAUGCUUCACGGCAGUUAAAGGAUUACGAGAAGAAUUACCCUACGCAUGACUUGGAGCUUGCCGCGGUAGUCUUUGCGUUAAAGUUGUGGCGGCAUUACUUGUAUGGCGAGCACUGCGAGAUUUUCACCGAUCAUAAAAGUCUCAAGUAUCUGUUCACUCAAAGGAAACUGAAUCUGAGGCAGCGCCGGUGGUUAGAGUUAUUGAAGGACUAUGACAUUAGUAUUCAGUAUCAUCCCGGCAGGGCGAAUGUAGUGGCAGAUGCGUUGAGCAGGAAGUCAGUGCAGAGCCUGAGUUUGAUGAUCACCGAGUAGAGGCCAUUACUCGAGGAGUUUCAGCGGCUGAGGCUUGAGAUAGUGUCCCCUGGAUCUACUGCGAGACUGAUGUCUCUGGUUUUGCAGCCCACUCUGUUGGAUAGGAUCCGGAAAAAACAGAGUGGAGAUCCGUGCCUGUUGAGGAUUCGAGAGCAGUUAGAAGGGGGCAGGCUAAGGGUUUUGCUGUGGACAGUUCGGGAGUACUACAGUACAGGGACCAGCUGUGUGUGCCUGUGGAUUCAGAGAUCCGAGAGGCUAUUUUGAGAGAGGCUCAUUGUUCACCUUAUACGGUUCACCCUAGGGGAACUAAGAUGUAUAAGGAUUUAAAGGCACAGUUUUGGUGGAAUGGAAUGAAGAGAGACAUUGGCAGAUUUGUGGCUCAGUGUUUGACUUGCCAACAGGUAAAGGCCGAGCAUCAGGUGCCUGCUGGCAAGCUUCAGAGUCUGCCAGUGCCCGAGUGGAAAUGGGAACAGAUCACUAUGGACUUCGUCGUGGGAUUGCCUAGAGCGCAGGGUGGCUACGAUGCGAUUUGGGUGAUAGUGGACAGACUAACCAAGUCUGCUCACUUCUUACCGGUUCAGAUCACCUGGUCCAGAGAGAGACUCGCGCAGCUAUAUCUGGAUGAGAUUGGUAGGCUGCAUGGCGUGGCGAUUUCGAUCGUAUCUGAUAGGGAUCCGAGGUUUGUAUCACAUUUUUGGAGGAGUUUGCAGACAGCCUUGGCUACACAGCUGCAGUUCAGCACGACGUUUUACCCACAGACAGAUGGUCAGUCAGAGCGGACCAUUCAGACUCUAGAGAACAUGCUGAGAGCGUGUGUCUUGGACUUUGGAGGGGGGUGGUAUCGACAUUUGAGACUAGCUGAGUUUGCGUACAACAACAGCUAUUAAGCGAGUAUUCAGAUGGCUCCGUUUGAGGCGUUGUAUGGACGCAGAUGUCGAUCCCCUUUGUGUUGGAGUGAUGUACGUGAAAGAAAGACGCUUGGGCCUGAGAUUUUGCUGGAGGCUGAGGAAAAGGUGAGAGUUGUUCGACGACACCUUUUGACAACCCAGAGCCGCCAGAGGAGCUAUGCCGAUAUCAGGAAAAGAGACUUAGAGUUUCAGGUUGGAGAUCAUGUAUUUCUUAAAGUCUCGCCGUUCAGAGGGAUUCGCCGAUUGGGAGUACGUGGAAAGCUCAGUCCACGCUUUGUUGGCCCUUUUGAGGUAUUGGAGCGAGUGGGACCAGUUGCAUACAGGAUCGCUCUACCCCCGCGACUAGCUGGUAUUCACGAUGUCUUCCACGUCUCGGUUUUGAGGAGGUAUGUUUUCGAUCAUUCUCACGUGAUUGACUUCACUCCACUCGAGAUUAGCGAGGAUCUGAGAUACGAGGAGCGACAGUUGCGGAUUCUUGGCCGAGAGACGAAAGAAUUGCGCAACCGGGUCAUCCCGUAUGUGAAAGUGCAGUGGAGCCAUCACGAGGAGCGGGAGGCGACUUGGAAACCUGAGACGGUGAUGAGGGAGUCCUAUCCCUACCUAUUCGAUGCCCUGAGCUGAGGUAUGUUCAAGUUUCGAGAACGAAACUUUUUGUAAUGGGGCAGGAUGUGAGACCCCUGGUGUUCAGCAGUGAAGGCAUGUCGACAGCUCUGGAGAGUGUCGAGACAAGUUUGAGUCGCGUUCGCGCGAAAUAGAUGCAAAACGGACUCUGUGCGACGCGAGAGCAGCAUUUAGCAAGAAAAUCUGCAAAAAAGUUGAUUUUCUGCUUGCUGUACCGGUAUUGUGACACCCCAAUAGUCCCACAUCGGAUGGGAAUGAUGUUGUCAUUGGGUUUAUAAGAGACUUAGACACUAGUAAUAAUAACUGGGCUUAAGCAUUUUGGGCCGGUGGUUGGGCCCAACGAGUUAUUAUUACUAGUGGGCUGGGUCGUUACAUUUGGUAUCAGAGCCGGUUCACCAGCUGGACAUGUGUGGCGAGUCUCGGCUGAGCCAGGGUCUGGAUGACGGGCUAGCGAGACGAGUCUCACAUAGCCUGGUGAUCUUGGGCUGUGUGUGAUUGGACUGACGAGGACGUCAGGACCUUAACGGGGGGAGUCUGUGACACCCCAAUAGUCCCACAUCGGAUGGGAAUGAUGUUGUCAUUGGGUUUAUAAGAGACUUAGACACUAGUAAUAAUAACUGGGCUUAAGCAUUUUGGGCCGGUGGUUGGGCCCAACGAGUUAUUAUUACUAGUGGGCUGGGUCGUUACAGGUAUAGCCAUCAUGGUGCACCGGUGCACCGGUACACCGCACAGGUUGCGCGCAAACUGCUCUCAGGUUGGCUUCUUAUAUCGGUACGCGAGCCCAUGUACCGGUACGCCAGGGUAGGUAGGAGGACUUUUUGGUCUUUUUCCACCUCGUUCGUGUCACCCUUUUCCUCUAUCACUAUUUAGAUUUACGUAGAGCUGAGAGAGAGAGUUUGUACUGUCCUUCUACUCCUCUCUCUCUAGCUUCGAUCGUGGGUCAAGGAGGGAGCUCGGGUGGAGGUUUCGCCGUCGACGUCGCGCCGCGAAGCCAUUUGAGCGUACGUUCGCCGCCGUUGUGUCGCAAGGAGGCCGGGCGAGCGUGGAUCUUCGCCGUUAUUGACGUCGCACUGGUGCUAGUUGUGGUCAAGGUGGGUAUUCCGUUGAAUUGCUUCUUCUUUUCCAAGCAUCAUCAAAUUCGAGCUAAGUGUUGAUUUGCAGAUUUUCCAGCGUCGACCGUUAGCGUUUCGGCCCGUUCUCGACGUAGGAGAGUCGAAUUUCGACGAGAUUUGGUUCGUUGGAUUCAGGACUUAGAGAGGAAUCCACGAAGCCCUUAUUUGCUGGAUUUGGUGAAGGUUAGCUUGGUCGAAAUUAUAAUCUCCUCUGCUGCUGCGUUUCGGACAGAAUUAAUGGAUUUCAGUGCUUUACCUUGAUGUAGCUUUGUUGCUGGAUUUGUGGGCGUUUCGGUUGAUCCAGCAGGUUAUCCCGCAGCUGAGGGACUUCAUCGCUGUUAGGGAUUAGCUCUCAAGGUGGGUUAAUCAUCGGUUUACUCCUAAGUGCCUAUAUAGUCGACAUGUAUUCGUGGCGUUAUUUUGUGUGUAGUAAUUGCUCGGUUCAUUGAUUUACUAUGUUUAAUAAUCUGAAUUGGAGCCUUGGUUAUUGUCUUUGGAUAUAUAUACAUGUUGGACUUGGAUGAGACUUAGGAGAAAACUAGCGAUUAUGAUCGUCAUAUGCUUAAACUACCUGAUUUAGCCCUAGGGGCCGUUGUAUAAAUUUUUACUGUUGCAGUAUCCUCUUAGUGGGUAUUCCAGGUAGUUUAGUUUUUAGUUACGUUCGUGCUGAGAUGCCGAGUGUAUUUUUACAGUAGCGUUCAGACUGUUCCGAACUGUUGGGUGCCGUCGGGGUUGACGGUGAACCCAUAUCGCCUGUUUGGCGUCGAAUUGUGCCGAGAGCACGUUACUUGUUGGUUGUUAG